AGGUUGUUUAGAAAUCUUACAGCGUCAACCAUGCAGGCGUCUCGUACUCAUCGUUUGGUAGGACUAUCAAACGAUGAUAGUUGGACCAUAUUUAGGCAAAAAGCAUUUGCAAGAGGAGGACCACAAGAGACUCCAAAUUUGGUGGUUGUGGGCCAAAGGAUUGUAAAAAGAUGUGGGGGUGUGCCAUUAGCAGUAAAAACAUUGGGAGGUUUGAUGCACUCAAAGAAGAAUGAGCAUGACUGGUUGUCAAUUGAAAGGAGUGAAAUAUGGAAUUCAUCUCAAAAAAUAAAUGGAACCGAUAUUUUUCCUAGCUUAAGGUUAAGCUUUGAUCAUCUUCCGUCACCCUCAUUAAGACAAUGUUUUGCAUAUUGUUCUAUUUUCCCCAAGGAUUUUUUUAUUGAGAGAACCAAUUUAAUCGAACUUUGGAUGGCCCAAGGAUACCUUCAGCCCACUAAGGGAAGUGAUAUGUUGAUGGAGGAUGUAGGUAACAAUUAUUUCGAUGUCCUAUUGUGGAAUUUUUUAUUGCAAGCUGUUCCAAAAGAUGGGUAUGGAACUAUUGUUGGCUGCAAGAUGCAUGAUCUCGUGCACAAUUUUGCACUACAUAUCUCAAAAAAUUAUUGCUCGACUUCAAAGGCCACUGAGGUGAGUGAUAUUUCUCAUGUUCAACAUUUAUCAUUGGUUUCUAGUGAAGAAGAGGUAUCGCUAAUUUCAGAAUUUGGUUUCCAGAAAUUGCGAACAUUGUUUUUAUCAGGUAUUCUCCUUGGAGAUGUGUCAAUGGACAAAACACGCUUGCGUGCUUUGAAUUUAGUUAAAUCUGAAAUGAAGGAAUUGCCAAGUUCAAUAAGCAAGAUGAUACAUUUAAGAUAUCUUGACAUCUCAAGGACAGCCAUUAAAGAGUUACCUAGUUUUGUCACUAAUCUCUAUAAUUUGCAAACUCUGAGAAUUUUGUAUUGCUUGUUCUUGGAAAAGCUUCCAAGAGAAUUUAGGAAGCUAGUUAAGUUGAGGCAUUUUUACAUGGAUGAUGAUGAAAAGCGCAGGAAUUUGAUGCCAGUGGGAUUAGGGCAGUUGACUUGUCUCCUGACAUUGCCAUUUUUCGUUGUGGGUCAGAAUAAGGGAUGCGGAAUUGAGGAGCUAGGAUGCUUACACAACCUCAGAGGAGUAGUAAAGAUUUAUGGUCUUGAGCAUGUGAAAAGCAAGGAAGGUGCGCAGAAGGCAAAUUUAUCAAGCAAUCCAAAUAUUCAAGAAUUAAGGUUUCAUUGGACUAAUGAUGAAGUGGAAAACACAGACAUUAAUAAUGAUGUGGAUGUGUUGGAAGGUCUAAAACCUCACAGUAAUUUGAAAGGUUUGGUGAUUGAGAACUAUCGGGGUGAGAAACUUGCAUCAUGGAUGAUGGUGAAAGAUCACACAUCGCUGCUUUACAAUUUGGUGAAGAUAGAACUGAAGUAUUACAAAAGACUGGGAGAAAUCCCCGCACUUGGGCACCUUCCUUUCCUACAGGUUCUUCAAAUAGUGGGGAUGCAUAAUGUGAAAAGUGUUGGUACUGAAUUCUAUGGUCCUCACAAUCUUAAUGAUGGUGGUAGAGAGACAUCAAUAUUUCAAGCACUGAGAGAACUCAGUCUACAAUAUAUGCCAAGCUUAAUAGAAUGGAGUGAAGCGGCAGUUGCAGCAUAUUCGGGGUCAUCUGGCUUGGUGUUUCCUUCCCUGAAGGUCUUGAAUAUUGGAUGGUGUCCCCGAUUGAUAAUGGCUCCAAGUCACUUUCCAUCCAUUAAGACAUUGACAAUAGCAGAAAUCAACAAUGUGGCCCUAAGAAAGAUGAGCAACAAGCUAACGUCUCUCACUUUCCUGAAUUUAAGGAAGGUCUCAGGUUCAGAGAUCAAUUUUGUGCUUGAAGAGAUGUUCAAAAAUAAUAGAUCUUUACUAAAACAUGUGACAAUUGAUUCUUGUGAUGGUGUAGCUCAUGUGCCAAAUGUGCUGCAUGACCUUGCAUCCCUUGAGACACUAUGUAUAAAAGAGUGCCCAAAUAUAACGACUAUACUAGAUAUCAAUGAGGAGCACAAUGGCCUCACUCGUCUUCAAGACAUUAUGAUCACCAAAUGCAACAAGUUGACUUGUUUGCCAAAAGGAAUAGGGAACCUUGCAUCUCUUGAGCGUUUAGCUGUGUCUGAGUGCCCUAACCUAAUGGUAAUUGACCCAUCAGAUAUCUGCAGGCUCACAUCCCUCAGGAGUCUGGAAAUUAAAAAAUGUGGAAUAUUGAGGACUUAUAAUUGUUGGCCUGAGUGGCUACUCUCUCUAACCCCUGACCUCACAAGAUUGGUGAUAGGUGACUUCUCAGAGGAACUUGAUUAUUUCCCUUGGCCCACAAUCACUAGCACUACAACUACUUCUACCUGUACCAAUUCUAGUUGCAGUAGCAGUAAUUUCAACAUCACCCAUCAAGUACAACAACGCUUCUUCGUCUCGCUAAAGUCUCUAACUUUGUAUGGUUGGUCAAAGCUCACAUCUCUGCCUGAUCAACUCCAGCACCUCACUGCCUUGAUAGACUUGAGUAUUUGGGAAUUUGAUGGGUUGGAAUCUCUGCCAGACUGGCUGGGUAACCUUUCAUCGCUCCAAGCUCUACAUCUUUGGAAAUGCAAGAAUCUAAUGAUUCUACCUUCAAUGAAAGCAAUGCGAAGCCUCACCAAAUUGCAAAGUUUGAAGAUUAGGUGGUGUCCCCUUCUCAAGGAAAAAUGUAGCAAGGAAAGCGGGCCAGAUUGGCACAAGAUUUCCCAUAUUCCAUCAAUUCAAAUAGACAGCAACUACGUCAAACUGGGAUCAAAUCAUACUAAUGAAAAUGAGAGAUAAACCAAUUGGAAAUACAGCUGAAAUAGAAGAAUGCAAAUAUGGUUGCAUCAGAAGAUAUUAGUAGAGAAGUUUGGACAUAUGGAGAGAGGUGACUAGGCGCGUGGCCAGGCAUAAUGAUGAUCGUUUGGAGUUCUGUUUUGCCGGUCAACUUUUGUGCCUCUCGAGGAGGUUCCGGAAUAAAUCUAGUGGUCAUGUUUUGUGAACUAUGUUUUAAACCUUGUUUUCUUUUCUGAAUUUCAAACAAGUUCCUGUUUAUCUGUAUAUUGGGCUAUGUCUUAUUUUGACUUUAUCUGUAUAAAUGAGUGACGUAAGACUACUAUAAUUAUGACGUCACGUGUAUGUAUAUUAAGUUUUGAAAUUUUGGUCCCAUGUAUAUCUACACAACUUAAUGGACUA